GGUCAGUGAUGUGAUGUAAAAGGUCUGAAGCUCAGGUCCCCCAUCAGCCAUUUUAGCUCCCAACAGCCCCUGCUCUGUGCUCCCAUCAUGCUCUAGUGGUGCAGCGAUGGUCCCAGUAGCUGUUGACAGACAGGAUGUGCCAUUGCAGUGUAAAGAGUCUGUACAGAGAGCCUACAGAUUCAGCGUGAUGCAGACAUCCAACAGAACCAAUCACUAUGGAGUGUCAGGCUGAGGAGGCGGGUCCUGAGCGCUGAUCUCAUUCCUGUACUGAGACC
rnacentral:snoRNA from 1 species